CGGUGUGGAUUAUCUCGCGUUGGUGGCGGCCGAGGAGAUGGGGAUGGAGGAAGACAUCUCUGGUCAUCACCGGAUCGGAUCACCCACCACCAUCAAAUCGGAGAGCAAGGCGAGGACGCUCGGGAUCCGCGCCGGCGCCUGAGGCGACGAGGAGCUCUGUGGUGAGGGCACCGACGACCACCUGGUCAACCUCAUGGGACAGCUACGCGACGCCGCCUAUCAGUUCCGCGACUCCCAGCCAGGUUUUUCCCUGCCCGAACCUCUAACUCUCCCCUAACUUCCUACAGGUUAGAUCCCUCAUGUUUCCCGUCGGCCACCACUUCCACUUCUCCGAGCUCGCUGGAGGGCGCCGUUAUAUGGCGAGGUGUCCGCGCUCGGCCCGGCAGCAGUCAACACGGUGAGGUCAGAAUAGGGGGCUUCCUCUAUAGUGAUUUUCGAGGCAAACGCCUCGCUCUCACCUUGCAGCCAUGGAAAUGGCGAUGACUAGAUGAAGCAAGCUGUCAUGUCCCGCUUCCUCCCUCUUGGCGAGAUUCAGGUGAGCUGUCUCUUCCAUAUGCCUCCGUUUCCCCUGAAGAUGCAAAUCAAAACAAAAAAAUACAGGCACCAACAACGAUGGGCCAACUGCGAUGCACAAAAAAUAAACCCAGACUGCUCCUUGCUACUGGAGUACCUAGCCUAAGGUGCAGCUCAAGUUAAAGAUGCAGUUUGGUGCAACGGAUUGUAAGAGGCUCAUCAAACUCCUUUUACGGAGUGUUUUGAACUACAUUGUUUUUGCAAUUUUAUUCCAAGGUCAAA